AACGAACGCUGGCGGCAGGCCUAAAACAUGCAAGUCGAACGAACCUUCGGGUUAGUGGCGCACGGGUGAGUAACACGUGGGAAUGUGCCUCUGGGUGCGGAACAACGUCGGGAAACUGACGCUAAUACCGCAUAAUGUCUACGGACCAAAGAUUUAUUGCCCAGAGAUCAGCCCGCGUCUGAUUAGCUAGUUGGUGAGGUAAUGGCUCACCAAGGCGACGAUCAGUAGCUGGUCUGAGAGGAUGAUCAGCCACACUGGAACUGAGACACGGUCCAGACUCCUACGGGAGGCAGCAGUUAGGAAUAUUGGACAAUGGGGGCAACCCUGAUCCAGCCAUGCCGCGUGUGUGAAGAAGGCCUUAGGGUUGUAAAGCACUUUCGGCUGUGAAGAUAAUGACAGUAGCAGAAGAAGAAGCUCCGGCCAAAUUCGUGCCAGCAGCCGCCGUAA
rnacentral:rRNA from 1 species